rnacentral:rRNA from 1 species
AGCGAACGCUGGCGGCAGGCCUAACACAUGCAAGUCGAACGGACCCUUCGGGGUUAGUGGCGGACGGGUGAGUAACACGUGGGAACGUGCCUUUAGGUUCGGAAUAGCUCCUGGAAACGGGUGGUAAUGCCGAAUGUGCCCUUCGGGGGAAAGAUUUAUCGCCUUUAGAGCGGCCCGCGUCUGAUUAGCUAGUUGGUGAGGUAAAGGCUCACCAAGGCGACGAUCAGUAGCUGGUCUGAGAGGAUGACCAGCCACAUUGGGACUGAGACACGGCCCAAACUCCUACGGGAGGCAGCAGUGGGGAAUCUUGCGCAAUGGGCGAAAGCCUGACGCAGCCAUGCCGCGUGAAUGAUGAAGGUCUUAGGAUUGUAAAAUUCUUUCACCGGGGACGAUAAUGACGGUACCCGCAGAAGAAGCACCGGCUAACUCCGUGCCAGCAGCCGCCGCAGUAA